CCGGUUAUUAAGCCAAAGAGGUUUGGAUGCUAUUAAUAUUUUGUUUUGUCAUGAAGGAUCUGUACAACCAGGGAGAAAGUUAAGGGUAUGGAUAAUUCUGAAAUAUGUCAUUUGAUAAAAAAUGUAUAUAAACCAGAUAAAAAGUAUCAUUUUCCUAAAUCUAAUGGCAGAUCAUUUAGGCAUGAUUGGCUAGACCAGCAUGAAUGGCUUUGCUAUUCACCUUCACAAAAUGGUGCGUAUUGUCUAUCGUGUGUGUUGUUUGGCAAUAGAUUCCCAGGCAAGGCCAGUAAAGUAAAAAAGUUGUUUACUGAACCUCUUCAAGAUUGGAAGAAUGCUAAAUGCUCUUUCACUCAACAUGCUGGAAAAAGUAAAGGGAGGGAAGUCGGUUUGCAUGCAUCCACAUCACCAAUUUUGAUGCUUUGCGUUCCCAAAUAUCAGGUACUCUGCAGCCUAUCGAGAUGAUCAUGGAUGCUGGUAUCAAGAAAGAAAUAGAACAGAA